rnacentral:misc_RNA from 1 species
GAUGAAGAACGUAGCGAAAUGCGAUAAGUAGUGUGAAUUGCAGAAUUCAGUGAAUCAUCGAAUCUUUGAACGCACAUUGCGCCCCUUGGUAUCCCGAGGGGCAUGCCUGUUCGAGCGUCAUUUCACCACUCAAGCCUGGCUUGGUGUUGGGCGACGUCCCCUUUGGGGACGCGCCUCGAAACGCUCGGCGGCGUGGCACCGGCUUUAAGCGUAGCAGAAUCUUUCGCUUUGGAAGUCGGGGCCCCGUCUGCCGGAAGACCUACUCGCAAGGUUGACCUCGGAUCAGGCAGGGAUACCCGCUGAACUUAAGCAUAUCAAUAGCGGAGGA